GGGGGUGGGUGUAACAUCAGUUGUGUGGAUUUCUUCAAGGAUUUGACGAAGAACGAAGAAAGCUUUCUUGAUCCUUCAGGAUUCUUGGGAAUUUUGGGAGGUUGGAUGCUUGAAAGCUUGAGAGUUUCAUAGCUUCAAGGAUUUGGAGAAUUCUCUUCCAAUUUGGGAGUAGAGAAAUGUGUAUGUGAAUUUGUCAUUUGAAAUGGAUGAAAUGGCCUUGUAUUUAUAGAAUUUUUCAAGCCCUAAUUUUGAAUAUAAUAUU
rnacentral:lncRNA from 1 species